rnacentral:piRNA from 1 species
UGGUGUAUUCUGGAUGUCUACUCAAGGCC